UAACAAUAUGUUUACAGGGUGCAAAACAAAUUUUAGAUUUUCAGAUAAAGCCAUGGAUUCUCAGGAGGUGGGAUUCGUCCUCAUACAACCAUUGACUCCUGCUGAAAGUCCCAGCAACAGGCUCACACUUGGCUUCUUCUAACACCUCAGCACCCCUGCCCGGGGAUAGAGGUGGGGAAAAGACACCUUGUGACUGUCUAGUGAGAGGGAAGGCUAGCAUUACUGACACCUUCGCAGGGAGAUUUCAUUAUUUCCAGUCAUAGUGAAGUCUCAGCUGCCCCUUUCCCAUCUUUUUGCGCACUCCUCUGGUGGCAAAAAUCGAUUGGCCUGGGUCUGACUCUGUUGGAAUGAAGGAGAACUUGUUGAGGACCGUGAAGAAGGAAUUUUCUUGGUCUUCUGGGCUCUGGGGUUCGCACCACGUGGCUGGAGGUCGGGUAAGUACCAAGAAAAGGUAGAACAAGACUGAGCAAGAAUGAACUGCUCGAUGCCAUCAAUAAGCUGCACGGUGCCUUGUGUACACAAGGCAGCACAGAGCACUGCCUGCGUGCGUGCAUGGGUGGAAGGGAGGCCUCCUUUCCCCGCCUUCCCAGCAUGAGCUUUCUUUCCCUUUCUUCCGGUUUCUGCCCAAUAGCGAAGCUUUCCCAUAAUGCCAAGCGUAGUGCUUGCUAAGUGGCCUAGCUCCGUAUUCAACUCAGCUGUUCCCCUUCAUGCCCAGAGCUGGUCUUAGAGCAUCUGUUUGUCCCACUAAAUAAGCAUCUGCAGGACUUUCUACACCUUCCGCCCCUCAUGCCAUCGGUGGGACUUGCAAAUAGUUCAGGUUGUGUAAAGUGGAUUCCUGACUUUCUCCCUGGAUUCUGACCUCUAGAUUUUUAUUUCCAAGAGAUGGAAACAAAAACUUGAAAGUGUUUGCCAUGCCGUUCAUCCUGUUUAAAUCUUCACUCACAUAUCAGGAGUGGUGCUGCAUAUCUGUAACUCCAGAACUUGGGAAAAUGAGGCAGGAAGAUUAUGAGUUUAAGGGCAGCCUGAGUUAUAUAGGAAGAACCCCUCCCCCUUAUCUGUUUGUCUCUUACACACACACACACACACACACACACACACACACACACACACCUGGUUAAAACUGGCCGAAACCAUUGGCAAAGGCGUCGCAGAGCAGCUGAGGGUGGCCUAUGCCUCACCGUGAUACUAAAACACACAAAGCUUGGUGGAACUUUAAGUGGCUAACGAGACGUGAUUAAUGACGUUAUAUGCAGAACUACAUAAAACAGACAGUGCAUACUCAGAAAAGCCCACACUAUGCAAAUGAGCUCCAAAGCAGGAGAUAGUUACAUAAAAGUCCAAUUCUUCAUUAGGUGGAGCGGUUUGGGCUAGUGAACUCUGCCCGUUUUCUCUCUGCCCAUUUCCUCUCUUGCAAUGUAGAGUCUUUCUUUUCCUAGUUUGAAUGUAGAUGAGAGAGAGAGAGAGAGAGAGAGAGAGAGAGAGAGAGAGAGAGAGAGAGAGAAAGAACAGGGGCGGGGUCAGAAGAGCUGGGAGAAGCCAAGGGGCAGGGUCAGAAGAGGCGGGAGAAGCCAAACUUACCGAGUGAAGCUGGCUUUGGUAUGCUAAUUGGCACCGUGGUUAGGCAUUUGCCCUGAGUUCUUUUGGGGCCAGACAACCAGCCCUUGGGAUGCUGAGGCAGGAAGGUCAAGGAUUCAAAGCCAGUCUGAGAUAAAUCCCAAGCCAUCCUAGGAUAUAUGGUCAGACCUUGUUUCAAAUUAAUUUUUGUUUUGUUUGUUUGUUAAGUUAAAACGGUGAUUUUUUAACACUACCAACUUUGGAGAAAGUGGGAAUUUCUUCACUGUAAUAAAUGGCAGUUACCCCCUCUCUUUACCGCAAAUUACCUCUUUCUUCCCCAUUAGUCUUCAUACAACCCUUAUGUUCCUCAAGCUGUCCGAAAGUUCUUAAUAUUUCCACAAUUCUGUGUCAUUGCAUAUAAAAUAAUAAGGAUGCCAGUGCUUUAAGAGGCCACCAGUAAAGAGCAUGGUGCCGAGAUUAAUCAUCAGGUUUUUGAUUUCCCCUCCAGCCCCUCCCAGCCCAGAUCGGCUGACUGCCACGUGGCUUGUAGCUUCUAGCUCAAGCUGCCGGGAUCCAAAUGCCCAGACUCCAACCACUGCUGCCUGGAUCCUAGGACUCACCUGGGGAGCGUCUUCGUUUUAAGGAACGACGUUGCCAUGCGAGGAUGCCCGGAGGUGUGGGUGGUCAGUCAGAAGAGAGCGAGCCGCGGUGGCAGGGCAGGAGCAGGACAGUGGCAGGGCAGGAUACGUUGUGACAUAACAAACAGGGAAGAACCAUGCUUCUUCUUAGAGUUUCUUGUAGCUCCUCGUCGCUUUCUGGCAAUCAGAAGACUGGUCACCCUCAGUUCACAGCCAUUUUUAUUGUGGAAUUACCAGGAAAAGUUCUGCAAAAGCAUUGUACGUAAACCUAAGACGCCUCUUCC
ensembl:lncRNA